rnacentral:rRNA from 1 species
AAGCGUGUAGGGCGAGGUCUAGGUAAAUCCGGACCUCAUGAAGCCUGAGACGUUAUGCCGAUCCGUUUAAGGAGAAGUCACUAAUCCCAUGCUGCCUAGAAAAGCCUCUAGCGAGCUGACAUGGUACCCGUACCCCAAACCGACACAGGUGGGCAGGUAGAGAAUACCAAGGCGAUCGGGAGAACUGUGGUUAAGGAACUCGGCAAAAUGCCUCCGUAACUUCGGGAGAAGGAGGACCCCAUUAGGGUGAAGGACCUUGCGUCCGGAGCUCGAAGGGGUGGCACAGACCAGGGGAAAGCGACUGUUUACUAAAAACACAGCAGCGUGCGAAGUCGCAAGACGAUGUAUACGCUGUGACGCCUGCCCAAUGCCGGAAGGUUAAAGGGAAAGGUUAGUCCGCAAGGGCGAAGCUUUGAACUGAAGCCCCGGUGAAUGGCGGCCGUAACUAUAACGGUCCUAAGGUAGCGAAAUUCCUUGUCGGGUAAGUUCCGACCUGC